rnacentral:lncRNA from 1 species
CGCUGAUCUGGAAGCAGCACAUAGCUCAGAUGUAAGACGGACGUGUGCCAAAGUGGUAGACAAACCAACUCUUGCUACCAAGUACUGUCUCAGUCGGGGUCCCGUAAGAAAACCUGGGAGGUUUGUCGUCAACUAUUACAACAAAGGGAAAAACUGCAGUACGUCUGCUAUUGGUUUCCGACGGUCGCCUGUAGCGGGUGCUUCUGUCUUCGGCGCUGAGUGUCAGAAGAGCCUGACAUGCUGUCCUUACCUGCGAGUCAGUUCUGCUGAGCCCGUGUUAUAACUAACCUUAUGCCCGAGAGGCCACCAUCCCCAGCCUCCUGGGACAAUGAAAAAUCACUGGAGCUUUUUGAAACAAGAGGUCACGAGGAGUAUUUGAGGAUUCAUUCGUCAGGUUAGUUGGAACCUCUGAUGUGGGCCAGCUCAUGUUUCCAAUUUGGGACUCGGAGCAAGCAGUCAGCCCUGUAGCGUUCUCAUCCCGCUUGACGUCAGCGCUGAGAGCCGCGGUAUCUUUAGGAGCUCACUGUGCAGGGUGACGCCAGCUGGAUGAGUCGUCCCCGUGGAAAACAGCUCCCUUGGCAUAGGUUUGUGAAGCUACAAUUUGUCAGUGGUACCCGGACCUUUCUUCUAGAAAUUGCUAUUACCGCCCCACAUGGGAGGCAGAUCUGAAAGGGGAAAUUUAAUUUUCCCACCAACU